UGCACAAUGGGCGCAAGCCUGAUGCAGCCAUGCCGCGUGUGUGAAGAAGGCCUUCGGGUUGUAAAGCACUUUCAGUCAGGAGGAAAGGUUAGUAGUUAAUACCUGCUAGCUGUGACGUUACUGACAGAAGAAGCACCGGCUAACUCCGUGCCAGCAGCCGCGGUAAUACGGAGGGUGCGAGCGUUAAUCGGAAUUACUGGGCGUAAAGCGUACGCAGGCGGUUUGUUAAGCGAGAUGUGAAAGCCCCGGGCUCAACCUGGGAACUGCAUUUCGAACUGGCAAACUAGAGUGUGAUAGAGGGUGGUAGAAUUUCAGGUGUAGCGGUGAAAUGCGUAGAGAUCUGAAGGAAUACCGAUGGCGAAGGCAGCCACCUGGGUCAACACUGACGCUCAUGUACGAAAGCGUGGGGAGCAAACAGGAUUAGAUACCCUGGUAGUCCACGCCGUAAACGAUGUCUACUAGAAGCUCGGAACCUCGGUUCUGUUUUUCAAAGCUAACGCAUUAAAGUAGACCGCCUGGNGAGUACCGCCCGCAANGGUAAAACUNAAAUGAAUUGGCG
rnacentral:rRNA from 1 species